UACGGGAGUGGCAAGCGUUAUCCGGAAUUAUUGGGCGUAAAGCGUCCGCAGGCGGUCUUGAAAGUCUGUUGUUAAAGCGUGGAGCUCAACUCCAUUUCAGCAAUGGAAACUAGAAGACUAGAGUGUGGUAAGGGCAGAGGGAAUUCCCGGUGUAGCGGUGAAAUGCGUAGAUAUCGGGAAGAACACCAGUGGCGAAGGCGCUCUGCUGGGCCAUAACUGACGCUCAUGGACGAAAGCCAGGGGAGCGAAAGGG
rnacentral:rRNA from 1 species